ensembl:lncRNA
AGAUUGGUUUCAGCACUUUUGAUGUUGUUCCCUUGAUGAGCACAGGGGCCUGAGAUCCCACACCUCAUUAAAGAGCUUUUUGUUUGUUUUACUCUUUUUUUUUUUCAUAAUUCCUCACAGUGCAGUGCCCUCUAAAGAGUCAGUGGGCUUUCUGUAAAUGCUAUUGAUCAGUUUUGCUUGUCUUCUAUGUUUUUACUGGUUUGCAUGUUGUUCAUUAUAUUUUAAUGCUUUAUUUACUUGGCCAUUUAUUCCACUGACCUAGAGAACCUUUUGAAGCUGAGGCAUGUGUACUGCUCACAUUCGUAUCUACAACAGUGGUUCUUAGACUUUAGGAGGCAUCAGAAUCACCUGGAGGACUUGUUUAUCCACACAUUCUUGGCCCAUACCCGAGUUUCUGGUUCAGGAGGUGUGGCUUAGGGCUGAAGAUUUGUAGUUCUUGUAAGUUCCCAGGUGUUGCUGAUGCUGCUGGCCUGGUUGGGGGGCGCAGGUCACAUUUCGAGAAUCAGUGAUGGAGAGCAGUUGCCGGCAAAUAAUAAGUGCACAAUGAUUAUUUCUGGCUACAUGAAUUCAUGAUUGAAGAUUUUUCCAUAAGCCAGAACGUGAUGCCUCUGUCAAAUUCAACACUUUCAUGAAAAAAAGACUACUGCUGUUGCUGCUACUGCUAAGUCACUUCAGUGGUGUCCGACUCUGUGCGACACCAUCCCUGGGAUUCUCCAGGCAAGAACACUGGAGUGGGUUGCCAUUUCCUUCUCCAGUGCAUGAAAGUGAAAAGUGAAAGUGAAGUCACUCAGUCGUGUCUGACUCUUCAUGACCCCAUGGACUGCAGCCUACCAGGCUCCUCUGUCCAUGGGUUUUCCAGGCAGGAGUACUGGAGUGGGGUGCCACUGCCUUCUCUGAAAAAAAGACUAACAAAGACUUAAGGGGAGAAAAGUAGGAGUAAAAAAUUCAAACCUUAUUCUCUUCCUCCACUCAGGCCAAGACAGCUCUGUUCAGAGGAGAUGAUGUUGGGCUUCACAACCUGCUCCUUCUGUGAUGCUUCUGAGUUUGAAGAACUAUGUCUUGGAAGCCCUAGACUUGGAUCAUAAUUUUCUAAGAAAAGCAAAUCCUUCUAAAGUAGUUAGUUCAGAAUUUUUAUCUGGAUUAGUCUAAUAUGUAGGGAAAUAGCUGGAACAGGAUAAGUUUAUGAAGACAAGACUGGCACUACACAUUUUCUAAGGUGAGAACAAACCACUAAAGUGGGAAAGAUAUGGCCAAUCUGACUUGAUAUUUAAAUAGAAUUGGCAGUUAGCUAAUGUGAGAGAAUAGCUCUUACAGAGCUCCUCCCCCACAUCUUCCAGCCCACGAGUUCCAUGUCUGAAAAGCCCACUUGUUCUGAGAGGAUGUUUAGCCUAAUGGUUCAGCUUUAAAGCCAGACUGCCUGGGGCUAGGCCAUGACCUUGGGACAACUACUUAAUAUCUCUGCCUCAGUUUCCUCACCUGUGAAAUUGUAUAAACUAGUACUUAUAGUAUUGUUAUGCGUGUUCAGUGAGUUAAUAUAUUUAUAAAGGCUUAGACCAGUGAGCGACUUAGCAGCAAACCAGCAAUUGGCAUACAAGGAGUGUCCAAGUAUCGAUAUUGUAGGAACGUUGUUUAAUAUCCAAAUAAAGCAAGGAAAUGUAAGAACAC